rnacentral:ribozyme from 14 species
GUUUUUGCUUUUUUCUUCUUUUUUUUUUCCUCUCAUCAAAAAUUAUGACCAUACAUGAUUAAUGAUCAAAAAGAUUGGUUCUGAUCUGUUUCAUAUGAACAGAACAAAAGAAAACCUUUUUCAAUUGAUU